UGGACGUUUACCCGCCCGCGUACCUACGUCGUCGCCCACGCAUCCAAUGCCCCGAUUUCUUUCCUAAGCAGAUGGGUAUAGUCCGUCCAUCACACGCUCAUUGCCUUGGUUUUUCUUCCCGUCCCGAUCCGUCCAUCCCCUCCCUCACCAUCCGCCUCCCCUCCCGAUUCGUGCACGUUGCUACGCCGCCGCCCGCCACCAUGGGGGAGCCCUUAGCGCCGCUGCAGGAGUUGGAGGCGGACCUGCGCGACCUUUGCAGUCCCUCCGCGAAGGAUGAGCCGGACACCGCGGCAGCGAUGGACCGCGCAGGGGAAUCCUAGCGUCAUUGGAGGCCGGAUCCGGAGGAUUCCGCGCAGAUUGAUACUCUGGCUAGUGAGUUGAGGACAGGUGGCUGUCCCUGUUCAGGUUCAAUAAUCUCUAAGAAUCACCUAUCAGUGGAAGGAGAAGCACAGAUAAGCACCUUGAUUACUAAAUCAUCGUCAGGUGAUCAUAUACAUAAAGGAAAAGUAAUGGUCAAUUCUGUUGCAGUUCUGUGACUCAGUGGCAGUUUUGGUCGAACACAGCAGUGCUUCGGCCGCAAAGAGUUUGGUUCAGUGCAGCUUGUUCGGUGACGUACAGGAGGUGGCUGAUGUUCAUUCGGGGGCAAUUCUGCCCGCGUUUGAAGUUGGAGGUGAAAUUGUCGGCCAAGAGCUGCUUCCGGACAAGUAUCAGUAUCGCGCAGCAUAUUCUGGGGAAGGUUUCCUGUGUUCGGCGGAUGAAGUUCAGGAAAAGAAACAGAAUCAAAGCUUUGGAGAAUAAACCAGAGUUCGUGUUGCUACCUGAGGACCGUCAGGAUCGCUCAACAGUGUGUCCCAAAUAUGAAUAGUAUGGCAAAAUUGAACUCCUGGGUCAGCAGCAACGUUACAUCUGAAGGGAUAGAAAAGGAUCUCCACUGAAAUAAAUUCUUCUUGAUUAAUGAUGAUGCAUUAGUGCAGUUGUUUCUUCUCGGCCAGUGCAUAGAGCCAUCAGGAUUGCUGGUGUGGGCGACCUUCAAUGUAUGGCCUUUGUUUGACCAUGAACCAUAAAAGAAAUUGUUAAUAGAAAAACCUGUUCUGAUUUGGCUAUAAAUUUGAAACGGUUUGAGGGUACUCCUUACUUUUCCAUA